rnacentral:snRNA from 1 species
GGGAUUUUAUUGAACAAUUACGAC